CCAAAUCAAGUUGAGAAGUGAGAGUGCAAGGGAUUCAUCGUACCUGCUCCGAGUAGGUCGAGACGCAAUAGUAAAUCCCACCGGCUGCCUUCAUGUCCGUUCAUGAUUGGAACAGGCAUGUUUCAGCCAGCUCGAGGUGCACUUACCAAGGUUGCAAAUUACAUGAUUUACGUAUAUAUAUUGUGAGAAGAAAACCCAAAAAAACGAUUGCAUGUAUUUUUAGCGAAGUGUGCUUCUGAACCACAGCUUGGAAUUGUGUAAUCACGACAUGACAUCAUGAUUCCCCAAAACAAUUCAGACCAUAGUUAGCACAGUAUGGACACCUAAAUCUUGAACAUUCUAAAAUAAUUACAAUAUCCUCAUUUUUCUCUAUUUAUACCAGAAAUUAAGAAGAACCGCAAGCAAUCAUCAGGAAAUACCAAAUCUAGGGGUUACAGAAAGUCAAAGUGUUCCCAUCAAACUGUGGAGAACACUAAUGUUCUAUCUUGUUUUUAAUCAAAACUAAUGUUCUACCCGGGAAGAAAAAUGACAGAUGCAACUCACGCAGAUGACCAGGCCUAGGUAAUUUAUAGCAGAUGUCCACCCGUGAGUCCUUUUUCUGCGGAUUAAAAGAAACACUUGCAAGUUGUUAAACCAAAAACAGUGAAUAUAGCAUGCAAGUAAUAAUCAGAAUAUUAUUCAGCUUCCAUUUCCAUGAAUCAAUCAGAGAUAAAGUUGAUCUUUAUUUGACAUUCAAUCAAACAGUCCCAAUCAAAUUUAAUUUGGGGCAGGGUAGAAAGAUGCAAGUCAUAAUAGGGAGAAAAGCUAUCAAGAAUGCCAUGCUGCUUGUUGCGACAAAUUUACCAUGUUACACCUUUUCGUGGAAGGGUCAAAAGAUCUGGAUGCGCUUAUCUGAAAUUCUUAAAUGAUCAGUUCAAACAAAUUAUAGAGCCAAAGCAAUUCAAAAUUUAGCAUUAUGAAGGAAAGGCUCGUGAUUAGUAUGCAAAUACGAAAGGCACAAGAUUACUACGAAGUAGGAUGACUGUCUGCCAAAGGCAAAAAUAACUCAGUUUUAUGCUUUUCUAAACUAAAGCAGAAACGACCGUACAAUUGCAGGAGAAAAAUUGAUGUAUGCUUUUUCUAACCUCAGCAGUAACGAACAGACAAUUGCGGCAAACAGGCUUGGGCAUCACAAUCGAGAACAUCUAUCACCAGCAUACCGCACCGAUUGCGACACCUCAUGUUGUCAAUCUACACUCUGAAAUAUGUCUACAUACAUCCGUAUGUCAUAGUUCAUUUGAAAUGUCAAGAAAGACAAAUAUUUGGAAACGGAUGGAGUAAUAGAUAACUUAUGUGCCCCAUAAAAGGAUACCAAACGCCGUGUGAGAGAUAAGAAUUCAGGGUGACAUCUGUCUAUACAAUUAGUUUUCAAGGCAAACUUUUGCACCAAGAUUGUGACAUAGUCACAUUCCAUCGAAUGAACAUGUGAUGCUGACCGAAGACUUGAUCAACUGUUUAAAUAUGCCUAUGAUAAAAAAUAGUUUAUUCAAAGCACAUUUAUCUAAGAAUGUAGUACGAUUUGUUUAAAGUCAAAAAUGAGAGAUUUGGUUACAUCCUAAAUUAUCAUAUAUAUUGAGGAAUAAAUUUCAUCAACUCAUGAUCUAAAAUGAAAGGACUUCUUAUUAGUGGCAUAAAGUCGUGAGAAAGCCAUGUUAUAUGCACUCUAUUAUGUGUUGGAGCACAUGUGUGCUCGUUAUCCCUCCCAUCAAGUUGCCCCGGGAUUUACAGCCCAACACGCAUAGGCCACUAAUAAUCUAUGUAUGCUUCUUUUGAACAGUGAAUAUGGCCCACAUCUGAAGUCCAUGAAACAUGACUAUGUGAGGCACUUUCACACCGGAUCGAAUGUCAGACCACCAUAUGGGUCGUCCAAGACGAGAUUCUGGACUAACAGAGUCAUUUUCGAGUCGAUUUAUUAUGUCUGACUCAUGCAUGUGGCUUCCCUUCCCCUACACAACUAAAGCUCGUCCCUCACUGGCUAAAGCGAACUCCACCUAGAUCCACCAUUCCCCCGCAGUCAAUUCUUCCUCAUCAGCCAUUCCCGAAGACAUCUUGCCGCUCAUUCCUGGCUUCGAUUGCGGAGAGCAGAUCAUAACAUAGAUUGCCCAUAGUGUGGCAAAUGUCGGCAAUCUGCCCCCGGUCACCUGCAACCACAAGAGUCCCUUUAGUAUGAAUCAGAUUCACACCAUAACCAUUUGCAACAAUCUAGUCCUCUAAUACAAGCCCAUCAUAAUUCUCAAUAGUCAUUAAAAUAUGGAAUCAAAACAGCUAACAAUCUAUCAUGUAUCCAAAAUUGACACCUAUGCUUAUCAUACAUGCCGGAGAAAAAUAGCUACAAUGUUGCUGUCAAGAUAACAUUUUGGAAGCAUUUUCUCUCAAAUAAGUAUUAAUAGAUCAGACACUGACAAAAUGAUUAUGGUAGUGUAAACCAAACGAAAUGACAUGGCCCACACACCAAUCUAUUCAGGAGUGUUACAUUAAUCCAACAAUUUGUUCAGCGCAUGGUAGCUAUAUAAAUAAUCCAGAUAUCAUUCGUGUUGACAGAAAUUAGCAAUGCUCCCAAGUACAUACAAAAUUGUCGAGAGAGAAUUUCCUAGCAUGCUGAGUUUCCAAAGACUGGACUUCUUAAUAAUGACACACCUUCGUGUCCAUGCAGGAGCUUUAGGGUCGAUCAGGCCAUAGAUUUCUUCGAUGUUGGCGACGAAUCUUCCGUUCAAGCUUCCGUUGCCCCUCCACCACACAUAUUUGCGCGUCUCCACUCACUCCCCUCAUAGGCGGCCGCUGCUCGACAUGUUGAGCCACUCAUGGCUGUCUCCACUCACUCCCCUCAUAGGAAUAGUGAACCGUAAAAAUAUUUUCAGAGUAUUAGGCUUGUAUCAUGAAUUAUGUUCGCUUCUAUCAAUGCUUCAAGACGCAAAGCUUUUUGUGUUUGCUAAGAAAACUAAGCAAAUAUGAAGGUAAAAGGAAAUCAUCAAUAUAAUUCCGCAAAAACUACUACAUGGAACGGACAUGAAAUGUUGCGGAAAUUGCUGAAUCUUGCUUUUCUGGAACAACGAUAUAGAGUGUUCACUACUGACUUGCACAUACUUUGCAAUCAGAAAAAAGCUUCAUCAAUUAUGUAGACGCGGUGAAAGGGAAUACAACAUACAAAAUCUAGAUACAGAAUUCAAGAUAAUAAAGCUAGAUGGAGCUAACACGACACAAUAUGCUUCAUCGUUUAGCGGGUACUCCCAUGCAUAUACUAAAUCAUAUAGACAUACACUUCAACCAUCAGAACUAUGCCAGAACUGGAACUGGUUUGUUCUUACAUGUCAUUUCCAGUGAGAAAAGGGGGAUGCUAUACAUUCCAAGUCGCAAAAAUUGUCUUAAAAUUAUAAGAAGCAAACUAAAAAUUAUAAAUAAUCAGAAGAAGUGCUCCCGCUGAGCGAAAACACAUUGCAUCUGAACAAUGCAAAGCAACUGCAGCACAUAAGCUAGCACCUUAUUCAUGCUUUAAAGGUGUACAGUUUGACCACCUACUUGUAGCUACUAUACACAUUCACAAGACAUUAGGCCUUUCAUGUAAUAUUUUUCUAGGCAAGAAAACAUUGCUAUAUGACGUAACUCGUAGUAGUAGGUAAAUUCACAAACUGUGUAUGUUGUAUCAAUGACUCUGCUGUAAUCAAACUUUGAAGCUACAAUCAGAUAAAGGAAUAAUAUGAACUUCAGUUAACUGAUGUAAAAUAACAAAAAGAGGCAUGUCUAAAGAACACAAUGGAAGAAUAGAAAAAUGCAUGUAGAAGAUUACACAUGAUCUAAUCAUAUACCUUGCCACCCAAAAUUUUGCCUUUGUCGUAUCAAUGAGUUUGCUGUAAAUGAGGAAGUAGUAAUUUUUGCACGUACUCUAGGUGUUUUGUCAUCGGUUGAACGACAAGCUUCUUCAUUUUUGGAAACUACACGAACAAGACAAAACAUUUGUUCACAGUAAGUUAGUAACCCUAAAGGAUCUACUUACUCGGAGAAAUUCAUAAGAACAAACUGCAUAUACAGUAAAACACAACGAGCUCUGAAUCAAAGUAUAACUAUUUGAAAAUCUUUGGAGAAGAUCAAACAAUACAUCAUUGCAUCACUACUCGGGGUCACUAACGGAGGCGCCAAUUCCUUCGAGCUGGGGAAAGGGGAAUUGAAGGUGCUCGGCAGAACUGGAAGGGGGAGAAAUGAAAACCUCAAACACUACCAUUUGAAGAGCAGAGGAUAUAUAUUUAGGCACUCACAGAAAUAAUCAUCGGAGGUCCUGUACAGAUACAAGUAGGUGGUGGCAUCGCCGUCUUAGCUCGGUUGUCCAAGCAACACAGAAUGUCCUGAUCACCACACAGUUGAAAUUGAAAGUGUUUGCAACUCUGCAAAUUAUAUACAUAUCCAACGAUUUAGUUGGGAGUUUAUUCUGCACCAUUUGUGAAAACACACACUCACAAGCAAUUCGUUGAGUAGACACCAUGAAAUAAAAUUAUAUUGUGAAAAAUACUAUUUAUCAAACAGGUGAAACAAACUAAUCAGGUGCAUCUCCGUAAGCAAAGAAAAAGGCAGACCAAAAUCUAUAGGAUAUGAGACAUAUAUAUCUCUUUGUUUAUAUAUAGACACACACACACACGUCAUAAUACCUUGACUUUCUUCCAGAGACUAAACAUUGGUUUGUGGACUAAAAACUCAGAGAAAAAAUUACCAGAAUGGGUAAAUGAGUAAUGGAGCAAACAUGCACAUUACUGAGAGAGAACACAUGUCCAGUGCAUACAGUUAUAAACAACCAUACUUAUAUAAUUUCCAUGUGGGAGAAGUAUAUUAGGUUAUGAAAGCAAGCGCCGUCGUUCGUGAUUUUAACGCACACGACUGAUGUCAUGUCACAAUGGUGCCAACCGGCUUGCCCAUGACACAGCUAGAUUCUGUCACCUCAAUCUUUGUAAUCUCAUCAUCUUAGGACAUGCCACAUCUUGCAAUGUUGUGAGUAGAUGACAGAUAAGAUGUAGCAGUGUAUAAUGGAAUUAGGGGUGGAUCAGCAACCUGACAUGCGCGGGGGAGGUACUCUGCCCGCCACUUCCCAUCCCUAGAGGGGGCGUGGAGGGUCGGCUACCAUCACCUUGACGCUCGGCCCACGAGACUACCAUAGAUGUAUUCUCACCUGCGUCGAUGCCACGUGCAUGACGCCACGACCGCGGCUGCCACAGCCUGGCCUCUCCUACAAGUAAAAAAGUAAAUCACACCAAAAUCAACACAAAAGGCACACCAAAUCAAGUUGAGAAGUGAGAGUGCAAGGGAUUCAUCGUACCUGCUCCGAGUAGGUCGAGACGCAAUAGUAAAUCCCACCGGUGCCUUCAUGUCCGUUCAUGACUGGAACAGGCAUGUUUCAGCCAGCUCGAGGUGCACUUACCAAGGUUGCAAAUUACAUGAUUUACGUAUAUAUAUUGUGAGAAGAAAACCCAAAAAAAACGAUUGCAUGUAUUUUUAGCGAAGUGUGCUUCUGAACCACAGCUUGGAAUUGUGUAAUCACGACAUGACAUCAUGAUUCCCCAAAACAAUUCAGACCAUAGUUAGCACAGUAUGGACACCUAAAUCUUGAACAUUCUAAAAUAAUUACAAUAUCCUCAUUUUUCUCUAUUUAUACCAGAAAGUAAGAAGAACCGCAAGCAAUCAUCAGGAAAUACCAAAUCUAGGGGUUACAGAAAGUCAAAGUGUUCCCAUCAAACUGUGGAGAACACUAAUGUUCUAUCUUGUUUUUAAUCAAAACUAAUGUUCUACCUGGGAAGAAAAAUGACAGAUGCAACUCACGCAGAUGACCAGGCCUAGGUAAUUUAUAGCAGAUGUCCACCCGUGAGUCCUUUUUCUGCGGAUUAAAAGAAACACUUGCAAGUUGUUAAACCAAAAACAGUGAAUAUAGCAUGCAAGUAAUAAUCAGAAUAUUAU
rnacentral:lncRNA from 1 species